ACACAUUCUAGAGCCUAAUUCAUAUUAAUUAACAAUUAAAAUUACAUUCAAAUCCAAAUUUUGAACCCUAAUGCUAAGAUUCAUCCUAAAAUAAGUUUAUUGUAAUCCAUCUCUACUUCUAUAAGCUGCACCUUGAUCUGAUUUUUAACAAAAUCAUAUAUUAAAAUUAUAUAUUUCUAAAAAUAAUUAACAACGACGAUAUACAAGCAAAAUAAAAGUUUUAUUAAUCGUGGGUUAUCGAUUACAGGACAGAUUCCCCUGAUUGGAAUAAAAAACCGCCAAAUUUUUUGAUUUUAAAGAACAUAACUUAUAUUCAUCAGGUCCAAUUAUCAACAUCUAGAAUAAUGGGGUAUCUAAUCCCAGUCUAUACGCUAGAUUUCUUAAUCUCAUAAUCAAAAAUUUAAUUAAAUAGAAAAUAGGAUUUCACCCAAUAUUUCACUAAAAUAUAAACUAAUUUUUAUUAAUUAAAUAUAAACCAAAAAGAAAAUAGUAGCAUUAUUUGUUUAACCGCA
rnacentral:rRNA from 1 species